GCCUUCUCGAGGAGCACACAUCUGGAAGUGGUUUCAGGGAUCCUGCACAAGGCCUGUAUUCCCAGCGGCUGAAGGAGGGGAGGAAACCCGAGCCACUGAAAGCCAACGCAAGCGGAGGUGGGUGUGGACGGCCGAGGCACACGGUCUUGGAAGCAGCAUAUUGGCCCUGGGGCUCUCUAGCCCUUCGGAGUUUCCAAUGGGACCUGGGAAGCAGCAGAAACAACAGGAAUCUUAGCCGCCCCCGCGAGACCAGCCGCAGUUUGAACGCUCCACCCUGCGGCGGUUCUGGAGCUAGGAGCCCAAAGCCCACCCUCACAUCCAUCAGGUCCUGGUUGCUCUCCAGGUAGACACACAUGGCUCUCCUACGAAAAAUUAAUCAAGUGCUGCUCUUUCUUCUGGUCCUGACCCUUUGUGGGAUUCUGUAUAAGAAAGUGCGCAAGGGGGCCACACUCAAGAACGAAGCAGGUGAGCAAGCCUGGAAGCUGACAGGACAAGACACCUAAGAAGGUGGUUUCAGUGUUUUCCA
rnacentral:lncRNA from 1 species